rnacentral:rRNA from 1 species
GAUGAACGCUGGCGGCGUGCCUAAUACAUGCAGGUCGAGCGAACGGACGUGAAGCUUGCUUCUCUGAUGUUAGCGGCGGACGGGUGAGUAACACGUGGAUAACCUACCUAUAAGACUGGGAUAACUUCGGGAAACCGGAGCUAAUACCGGAUAAUAUUUUGAACCGCAUGGUUCAAAAGUGAAAGACGGUCUUGCUGUCACUUAUAGAUGGAUCCGCGCUGCAUUAGCUAGUUGGUAAGGUAACGGCUUACCAAGGCAACGAUGCAUAGCCGACCUGAGAGGGUGAUCGGCCACACUGGAACUGAGACACGGUCCAGACUCCUACGGGAGGCAGCAGUAGGGAAUCUUCCGCAAUGGGCGAAAGCCUGACGGAGCAACGCCGCGUGAGUGAUGAAGGUCUUCGGAUCGUAAAACUCUGUUAUUAGGGAAGAACAUAUGUGUAAGUAACUGUGCACAUCUUGACGGUACCUAAUCAGAAAGCCACGGCUAACUACGUG